AGCUGUCCUAAUUAGGGUGGGUAAUCGAAUACUGAAAAUUAUAGCCCUCUUAGAAUGAUCAUAUUAUUUAUCAUUUUUUUCAGUAUUCGAUUACCCACCCUAAUUAGAACAGCU
rnacentral:miRNA from 1 species